GCUGACGAGUGGCGAACGGGUGAGUAAGACAUCGGAACGURCCCGAUCGAGGGGGAUAACGGAGCGAAAGCUCUGCUAAUACCGCAUAAGAUCCGAGGAUGAAAGCAGGGGACCGAAAGGCCUUGCGCGGACGGAGCGGCCGAUGGCAGAUUAGGUAGUUGGUGGGAUAAAAGCCUACCAAGCCGACGAUCUGUAGCUGGUCUGAGAGGACGACCAGCCACACUGGGACUGAGACACGGCCCAGACUCCUACGGGAGGCAGCAGUGGGGAAUUUUGGACAAUGGGCGCAAGCCUGAUCCAGCCAUGCCGCGUGCAGGAUGAAGGCCCUCGGGUUGUAAACUGCUUUUGUACGGAACGAAAAGGCCCUGGUGAACAGCCGGGGUUGCUGACGGUACCGUAAGAAUAAGCACCGGCUAACUACGUGCCAGCAGCCGCGGUAAUACGUAGGGUGCGAGCGUUAAUCGGAAUUACUGGGCGUAAAGCGUGCGCAGGCGGACAUGCAAGACAGAUGU
rnacentral:rRNA from 1 species